CCAGCUGUGGCCUACUGCUUAGGGCUUCAGGCUUGACACCGAAAGGGUUGCCGGUUCAAUCCCCGACCAGUAGGA
rnacentral:tRNA from 1 species